UUUAGAAAUAAAAUUUUAGUUUUUUUCGACGUCGUUUACUUAGUAAAUAAAUUAUGUCAAAAUGGACGGUAGAAAUUGAAUAAUUUUUAAAAUUUUGAGCGUAGGACUUUUAAAUUCAAAAAAAUAAUGUUAACCUUAAUCUAGAUAAUUUAAAGUAUUUUCUAUCAAAAUUUGAAGAAAUUUAGAUUCUUCUACACCGUUAAACUCCAAACUCGCUAUAGUAGCCAUUGAAAAUUGAUAAUUUUGAAAUGGUUUGAUCAUAAAGUAAAUUACGUCGAAAAAAUAUAAAAUUUUAUUUCUAAAAACUUUAAAUACCCUACAUCAAUUUUAACGGUGUGGAUCGUUGAUUUGAACACCCUGAGAUCGAAAAGGGACUAUAGUACCGGAGUCCCGGUAUUAUAGAUAGUAUAGGAGACUAACUCUCUCUCUCUAUAUAUAUAUAUAUAUCUUUAACAUGCUAAUCCUUUUAGUCUCUUU
rnacentral:lncRNA from 1 species